rnacentral:rRNA from 1 species
UACGGGGGGAGCAAGCGUUGUUCGGAUUUACUGGGCGUAAAGGGCGCGUAGGCGGCCUGUGCAAGUCAGUUGUGAAAUCUCCGGGCUUAACUCGGAACGGUCAACUGAUACUGCUCGGCUAGAGUGCGGAAGGGGCAACUGGAAUUCUUGGUGUAGCGGUGAAAUGCGUAGAUAUCGGGAGGAACAUCAGUGGCGAAGGCGGCUGCCUGGCCCAAUACUGACACUCAGGUGCGACAGCGUGGGGAGCAAACAGG